rnacentral:rRNA from 1 species
GGUCAAGUGAAGAAGCGCAUACGGUGGAUGCCUUGGCAGUCAGAGGCGAUGAAAGACGUGGUAGCCUGCGAAAAGCUUCGGGGAGUCGGCAAACAGACUUUGAUCCGGAGAUCUCUGAAUGGGGGAACCCACCUAGGAUAACCUAGGUAUCUUGUACUGAAUCCAUAGGUGCAAGAGGCGAACCAGGGGAACUGAAACAUCUAAGUACCCUGAGGAAAAGAAAUCAACCGAGAUUCCCUUAGUAGUGGCGAGCGAACGGGGAUUAGCCCUUAAGCUUCAUUGAUUUUAGCGGAACGCUCUGGAAAGUGCGGCCAUAGUGGGUGAUAGCCCCGUACGCGAAAGGAUCUUUGAAGUGAAAUCGAGUAGGACGGAGCACGAGAAACUUUGUCUGAACAUGGGGGGACCAUCCUCCAAGGCUAAAUACUACUGACUGACCGAUAGUGAACCAGUACCGUGAGGGAAAGGCGAAAAGAACCCCGGAGAGGGGAGUGAAAUAGAACCUGAAACCGUAUGCGUACAAGCAGUGGGAGCCUACUUGUUAGGUGACUGCGUACCUUUUGUAUAAUGGGUCAGCGACUUAUAUUCAGUGGCAAGCUUAACCGUAUAGGGUAGGCGUAGCGAAAGCGAGUCUUAAUAGGGCGUUUAGUCGCUGGGUAUAGACCCGAAACCGGGCGAUCUAUCCAUGAGCAGGUUGAAGGUUAGGUAACACUGACUGGAGGACCGAACCCACUCCCGUUGAAAAGGUAGGGGAUGACUUGUGGAUCGGAGUGAAAGGCUAAUCAAGCUCGGAGAUAGCUGGUUCUCCUCGAAAGCUAUUUAGGUAGCGCCUCAUGUAUCACUCUGGGGGGUAGAGCACUGUUUCGGCUAGGGGGUCAUCCCGACUUACCAAACCGAUGCAAACUCCGAAUACCCAGAAGUGCCGAGCAUGGGAGACACACGGCGGGUGCUAACGUCCGUCGUGAAAAGGGAAACAACCCAGACCGCCAGCUAAGGUCCCAAAGUUGUGGUUAAGUGGUAAACGAUGUGGGAAGGCUUAGACAGCUAGGAGGUUGGCUUAGAAGCAGCCACCCUUUAAAGAAAGCGUAAUAGCUCACUAGUCGAGUCGGCCUGCGCGGAAGAUGUAACGGGGCUCAAACCACACACCGAAGCUGCGGGUGUCACGUAAGUGACGCGGUAGAGGAGCGUUCUGUAAGCCUGUGAAGGUGAGUUGAGAAGCUUGCUGGAGGUAUCAGAAGUGCGAAUGCUGACAUGAGUAACGACAAUGGGUGUGAAAAACACCCACGCCGAAAGACCAAGGGUUCCUGCGCAACGUUAAUCGACGCAGGGUUAGUCGGUUCCUAAGGCGAGGCUGAAAAGCGUAGUCGAUGGGAAACAGGUUAAUAUUCCUGUACUUCUGGUUACUGCGAUGGAGGGACGGAGAAGGCUAGGCCAGCUUGGCGUUGGUUGUCCAAGUUUAAGGUGGUAGGCUGAAAUCUUAGGUAAAUCCGGGGUUUCAAGGCCGAGAGCUGAUGACGAGUCGUCUUUUAGAUGACGAAGUGGUUGAUGCCAUGCUUCCAAGAAAAGCUUCUAAGCUUCAGGUAACCAGGAACCGUACCCCAAACCGACACAGGUGGUCGGGUAGAGAAUACCAAGGCGCUUGAGAGAACUCGGGUGAAGGAACUAGGCAAAAUGGCACCGUAACUUCGGGAGAAGGUGCGCCGGCUAGGGUGAAGGAUUUACUCCGUAAGCUCUGGCUGGUCGAAGAUACCAGGCCGCUGCGACUGUUUAUUAAAAACACAGCACUCUGCAAACACGAAAGUGGACGUAUAGGGUGUGACGCCUGCCCGGUGCCGGAAGGUUAAUUGAUGGGGUUAGCGCAAGCGAAGCUCUUGAUCGAAGCCCCGGUAAACGGCGGCCGUAACUAUAACGGUCCUAAGGUAGCGAAAUUCCUUGUCG